rnacentral:tRNA from 1 species
GGAGAGAUGGCUGAGUGGCCGAAAGCGCCUCACUGCUAACGAGGUAAGGGAGCAAUCCUUUCGUGGGUUCGAAUCCCACUCUCUCCGCCA